rnacentral:rRNA from 1 species
UGGGGAAUAUUGCACAAUGGGGGAAACCCUGAUGCAGCAACGCCGCGUGAGUGAUGACGGCCUUCGGGUUGUAAAGCUCUGUCUUCAGGGACGAUAAUGACGGUACCUGAGGAGGAAGCCACGGCUAACUACGUGCCAGCAGCCGCGGUAAUACGUAGGUGGCAAGCGUUGUCCGGAUUUACUGGGCGUAAAGGGAGCGUAGGCGGACUUUUAAGUGAGAUGUGAAAUACCCGGGCUCAACCUGGGUGCUGCAUUUCAAACUGGAAGUCUAGAGUGCAGGAGAGGAGAGUGGAAUUCCUAGUGUAGCGGUGAAAUGCGUAGAGAUUAGGGAGAACACCAGUGGCGAAGGCGACUCUCUGGACUGUAACUGACGCUGAGGCUCGAAAGCGUGGGGAGCAAACA